AGUGAACGUUGGCGGCGUGGAUUAGGCAUGCAAGUCGAGCGAGAACCGUAGCGAUACGGGGACAGCGGCGAAAGGGACAGUAAUGUGUAGGUACCUACCCCGAGGUCUGGGAUAGCUGCGGGAAACUGCAGGUAAUACCGGAUAAUGUCUUCGGACCAAAGGUGUGAUUCCACCUUGGGAGGGGCCUGCAUCCUAUUAGCUAGUUGGCGUGGUAAUGGCCCACCAAGGCAACGAUGGGUAGCGGGUGUGAGAGUACGACCCGCGUCAUUGGGACUGAGAUACUGCCCAGACACCUACGGGUGGCUGCAGUCGAGGAUCUUCGGCAAUGGGCGAAAGCCUGACCGAGCGACGCCGCGUGCGGGAUGAAGGCCUUCGGGUUGUAAACCGCUGUCGUAGAGGAGGAAAUGCGGGGGGGUUCUCCCUUCUGUUUGACCUAUUCUAGGAGGAAGGACGGGCUAAGUUCGUGCCAGCAGCCGCCGUAA
rnacentral:rRNA from 1 species